AACUUUUGGCAAUGGAUCACUUGGCUCUCGCCUCGAUGAAGAACGCAGCGAAAUGCGAUACGUAAUGUGAAUUGCAGAAUUCAGUGAAUCAUCGAAUCUUUGAACGCACCUUGCGCCCCUUGGAAUUCCGAGGGGCACACCCGUUUGAGUGUCGUGAACAUCCUUCAACCUUUCUUGGUCUCUUAACCGGGGAAGGCUUGGACUUUGGGGGUCUUUCAUUGCUGGCCUCUUUGAAGCCAGCUCCUCCUAAAUGGAUUAGUGUGGUCUGCUUUGCCGAUCCUUGACGUGAUAAGAUGUUUCUACGUCUUGGGUUUCGCACUGUCGCUUUAGACCCCGCUUCUAACCGUCUUGCAUUCAAGACAGAGUUUUAAACCUUGACCUCAAAUCGGGUGAGACUACCCGCUGAACUUAAGCAUAUCAAUAAGCGGAGGCU
rnacentral:misc_RNA from 1 species